rnacentral:rRNA from 1 species
AGCGAACGCUGGCGGCAGGCCUAACACAUGCAAGUCGAACGAAGUCUUCGGACUUAGUGGCGGACGGGUGAGUAACACGUGGGAACGUACCUUUUGGUUCGGAACAACUCAGGGAACCUUGAGCUAAUACCGGAUGAGCCCUUAGGGGGAAAGAUUUAUCGCCGAAAGAGCGGCCCGCGUUAGACUAGCUAGUUGGUGAGGUAAAGGCUCACCAAGGCUACGAUCUAUAGCUGGUCUGAGAGGAUGAUCAGCCACACUGGGACUGAGACACGGCCCAGACUCCUACGGGAGGCAGCAGUGGGGAAUCUUGCGCAAUGGGCGAAAGCCUGACGCAGCCAUGCCGCGUGAAUGAUGAAGGUCUUAGGAUUGUAAAAUUCUUUUACCAGGGACGAUAAUGACGGUACCUGGAGAAAAAGCCCCGGCUAACUUCGUGCCAGCAGCCGCCGUAACAC